rnacentral:pre_miRNA from 1 species
GCUGGUUGGCAUUCUGGUCUUGGUUCAUGCUGACCCUGUACUGUUAACUAUACCAGGAUGUCAGCCUAGUUG